rnacentral:rRNA from 1 species
AUGUGCCCACUAUGCGACCAGGCGGCGGAAACUGCGGACCAUCUUGCCUUGGGAUGCGUCUACGCUAGGGAGGUGUGGCAUUCGAAGCUUACUCAUUGCGGGCUAGGCCAUCUCGUUCCGACACCUAACGACUCACUCAUCGAAUGGUGGCCGGGUAGUCGUGAUCUAAUUCCUCCUGCGCAUCGUAAGGGUUUCGACUCUGUGGCCAUCCUCACUGUGUGGAUGUUGUGGAAGGAGCGCAACAACCGCGUCUUCCAACGCUCAGCGGUCGUGGCUCGGGAGCUUUGUUGGCGUAUCGAAGAGGAAGCCAGGCUGUGGAAGAUCUCUGGAGCAAAAGGGAUGGCUCAUAUUUGGAGAUAG